AAACCUAAGUAAACGCGUUGGGUGUUCUUGUCCGGCCGUUUAUCGAAAACCAACCACGAACUAAGCAUGUAGAAAGCUUGAAAACACGUCGUUUGGACGAGGGUUCGAACCCCUCCGACUCCACAA
rnacentral:tmRNA from 1 species